AUUGAACGCUGGCGGCAGGCCUAACACAUGCAAGUCGAGCGGAUGAAGGGAGCUUGCUCCUGGAUUCAGCGGCGGACGGGUGAGUAAUGCCUAGGAAUCUGCCUGGUAGUGGGGGAUAACGUCCGGAAACGGGCGCUAAUACCGCAUACGUCCUGAGGGAGAAAGUGGGGGAUCUUCGGACCUCACGCUAUCAGAUGAGCCUAGGUCGGAUUAGCUAGUUGGUGGGGAAAAGGCCUACCAAGGCGACGAUCCGUAACUGGUCUGAGAGGAUGAUCAGUCACACUGGAACUGAGACACGGUCCAGACUCCUACGGGAGGCAGCAGUGGGGAAUAUUGGACAAUGGGCGAAAGCCUGAUCCAGCCAUGCCGCGUGUGUGAAGAAGGUCUUCGGAUUGUAAAGCACUUUAAGUUGGGAGGAAGGGCAGUAAGUUAAUACCUUGCUGUUUUGACGUUACCAACAGAAUAAGCACCGGCUAACUUCGUG
rnacentral:rRNA from 1 species